rnacentral:misc_RNA from 1 species
GUAUUGAAUUUGUAACUCCAAAUCAAUGCUACUUAUCAGGCAAGAACUUCUUGUCAAUUUCUCUGUUUCUGUUUCCUAGUCAUGUAUGUUUGUUUGUUCAGAAAAGACCGGAAAAGACAAGAAGAAGAAAAAAGAGUCUGAAAGAGCUCUUCCCCCCCCCUUCUUCCCCUCCCCAAUCUUUUCUGUUGUUUAUAAUUCUUUGAUGAUCCCUCCGCAGGUUCACCUACGGAGA